GGGCUGAUAGAUCAGCGGUAGAUCGCAUGAUUUGCAAUCAUGAGGCCGCGGGUUCAAGUCCCGCUCAGUCCA
rfam:Candidatus Methanomassiliicoccus intestinalis Issoire-Mx1, complete genome.